rnacentral:rRNA from 1 species
GACGAACCGUGCGAACGUUGUUCGGAAUCACUGGGCUUAAAGGGCGCGUAGGCGGCCUGCUAAGUCGAACGUGAAAUCCCCGAGCUCAACUCGGGAACUGCGUCCGAUACUGGUUGGCUUGAAUCCGGGAGAGGGAUGCGGAAUUCCAGGUGUAGCGGUGAAAUGCGUAGAUAUCUGGAGGAACACCGGUGGCGAAGGCGGCAUCCUGGACCAACACUGACGCUGAGUGAGCGAAAGCCAGGGGAGCAAACGGG